AUUGAACGCUGGCGGCAGGCCUAACACAUGCAAGUCGAGCGAGCGGCGGACGGGUGAGUAAUGUCUGGGAAACUGCCUGCUGAAGGGGGAUAACUACUGGAAACGGUAGCUAAUACCGCAUAUCAUCUGAUGUGCCCACAUGGGAUGAGCUAGUAGGUGGGGUAACGGCUCACCUAGGCGACGAUCCCUAGCUGGUCUGAGAGGAUGAGCAGCCACACUGGAACUGAGACACGGUCCAGACUCCUACGGGAGGCAGCAGUGGGGAAUAUUGCACAAUGGGCGCAAGCCUGAUGCAGCCAUGCCGCGUGUGUGAAGAAGGCCUUCGGGUUGUAAAGCACUUUCAGCGGGGAGGCGUUACCCGCAGAAGAAGCACCGGCUAACUCCGUGCCAGCAGCCGCGGUAAUAC
rnacentral:rRNA from 1 species